UAAGGUUAAGUUAAUAAGGGCGCACGGUGGAUGCCUUGGCACUAGAAGCCGAUGAAGGACGUGACUAACGACGAAAUGCUUUGGGGAGUUGUAAGUAAACAUUGAUCCAGAGAUGUCCGAAUGGGGGAACCCGGCAUGUAAUGCAUGUCACUCAUUACUGUUAAGGUAAUGUAGAGGAAGACGCAGUGAACUGAAACAUCUAAGUAGCUGCAGGAAGAGAAAGCAAACGCGAUUGCCUUAGUAGCGGCGAGCGAAAAGGUAAGAGGGCAAACCGAUGUGUUUACACAUCGGGGUUGUAGGACUGCGUUGUGGGACGACAAGAUUAUAGAAGAAUUACCUGGGAAGGUAAGCCAAAGAGAGUAAUAGCCUCGUAUUCGAAAUAGUCUUUAACCCUAGCAGUAUCCUGAGUACGGCGAGACACGAGAAAUCUCGUCGGAAUCUGGGAGGACCAUCUCCUAACCCUAAAUACUCUCUAGUGACCGAUAGUGAACCAGUACCGUGAGGGAAAGGUGAAAAGCACCCCGGGAGGGGAGUGAAAUAGAACCUGAAACCGUGUGCCUACAACAAGUUCGAGCCCGUUAAUGGGUGAGAGCGUGCCUUUUGUAGAAUGAACCGGCGAGUUACGAUAUGAUGCGAGGUUAAGUUGAAGAGACGGAGCCGUAGGGAAACCGAGUCUUAAUAGGGCGCAUUAGUAUCAUGUCGUAGACCCGAAACCAUGUGACCUACCCAUGAGCAGGGUGAAGGUGAGGUAAAACUCACUGGAGGCCCGAACCAGGGCACGUUGAAAAGUGCUUGGAUGACUUGUGGGUAGCGGAGAAAUUCCAAACGAACUUGGAGAUAGCUGGUUCUCUCCGAAAUAGCUUUAGGGCUAGCGUCGAUGUUAAGUCUCUUGGAGGUAGAGCACUGUUUGAUUGAGGGGUCCAUCCCGGAUUACCAAUAUCAGAUAAACUCCGAAUGCCAACGAGAUAUAAUCGGCAGUCAGACUGCGAGUGCUAAGAUCCGUAGUCGAAAGGGAAACAGCCCAGACCACCAGCUAAGGUCCCAAAAUAUAUGUUAAGUGGAAAAGGAUGUGGGGUUGCACAGACAACUAGGAUGUUAGCUUAGAAGCAGCUAUUCAUUCAAAGAGUGCGUAAUAGCUCACUAGUCGAGUGACCCUGCGCCGAAAAUGUACCGGGGCUAAAACAUAUUACCGAAGCUGUGGAUACCUUUUAGGUAUGGUAGGAGAGCGUUCUAUGUGUGAUGAAGGUGUACCGUGAGGAGCGCUGGAACGCAUAGAAGUGAGAAUGCCG
rnacentral:rRNA from 1 species